rnacentral:rRNA from 1 species
UACGUAGGGUGCAAGCGUUUGUCCGGAAUUAUUGGGCGUAAAGAGCUCGUAGGCGGUUUGUCGCGUCUGCUGUGAAAACUCGGGGCUUAACUCCGGGCCUGCAGUGGGUACGGGCAGACUAGAGUGCGGUAGGGGAGACUGGAAUUCCUGGUGUAGCGGUGAAAUGCGCAGAUAUCGGGAGGAACACCGGUGGCGAAGGCGGUUCUCUGGGCCUGUACUGACGCUGAGGAGCGAAAGCGUGGGGAGCGAACAGG